GAUGAAGAACGCAGCGAAAUGCGAUAAGUAAUGUGAAUUGCAGAAUUCAGUGAAUCAUCGAAUCUUUGAACGCACCUUGCGCCCUUUGGCUAUUCCGAAGGGCAUGCCUGUUUGAGUAUCAUGAACACCUCAACUCUUCACGGCUUGCCGUGAUGAGUUUGGACUUUGGGGGUCUUGCUGGCCUACGAGCCAGCUCCUCUCAAAUGUAUUAGCUUGCCGGUGUUUGGUGGCAUCACAGGUGUGAUAACUAUCUACGCUUGUGGUUUUCCACUAGGUAACCUUCAGCAAUGGAGGUUCACCGGAGCUCACAAAUGUCUCUCCUUGCCAAGGACAGAUUUUGACCAUUUGAUCUCAAAUCAGGUAGGACUACCCGCUGAACUUAAGCAUAUCAAUAAGCGGAGA
rnacentral:misc_RNA from 1 species